rnacentral:tRNA from 1 species
GGCUUCGUGGCCUAAUGGCUAGGGCGCUAGAUUUCGGUACUAUCUGAUCCUCUAGAGAUUGUCGGUUCGAGUCCGGCCGAAGUCG